rnacentral:tRNA from 1 species
GGUCCCAUAGCUCACUGGGUAGAACAAGCGUAUCUUAAUCGCUUGGUCGAAAGUUCGAAUCCUUCUGGACACA